GACGAACGCUGGCGGCGUGCUUAACACAUGCAAGUCGAACGGUAAGGCCCUUCGGGGUACACGAGUGGCGAACGGGUGAGUAACACGUGGGUGAUCUGCCCUGCACUUCGGGAUAAGCCUGGGAAACUGGGUCUAAUACCGGAUAGGACCACUGCCUACAUGGGUGGUGGUGGAAAGCUUUUGCGGUGUGGGAUGGGCCCGCGGCCUAUCAGCUUGUUGGUGGGGUGAUGGCCUACGAAGGGGACGACGGGUGGCCGGGCUGAGAGGGUGACCGGCCACACUGGGACUGAGAUACGGCCCAGACUCCUACGGGAGGCAGCAGUGGGGAAUAUUGCACAAUGGGCGCAAGCCUGAUGCAGCGACGCCGCGUGAGGGAUGACGGCCUUCGGGUUGUAAACCUCUUUCAGCACCGACGAAGCGCAAGUGACGGUAGGUGCAGAAGAAGGACCGGCCAACUACGUGCCAGCCGCCGCGGUAA
rnacentral:rRNA from 1 species